rnacentral:lncRNA from 1 species
UCUAGACCUUAUUUUUAAGAACUUCACUCAGACAGUGCUCUAAGAAUCUGAAAAUAUAUUAAGGAAAGCACUAGAAUGAAUUCUAUCAGGUAAAACUAGAUACUUAUCAGGCAUCUGACAACAAUGUAACCAAAGCUUUAAUGUCAGAGAAUACCAUUUACAUCUACUGUGCCUGCAUAAAUAUUGUUUCUACAAUUAGAAACAACAAAAAACACCAAGAAUCAUUCAUAGUGAAAUAAAUCUCCGGAAGAAGAGUUGUAACUGUUCUGAGGUUUUGUGGUUUUUUUGUUGUUUUGUUUUUGUUUUUUUGUUUGUUUUGUUUUGUUUUGGCAAAUUGCAAGAAAUGGUAUUCUGCCUAAACAAGUGUUUGCUAUAGUCACUAGGGCCAUUUACUAUAGGAUCCAUUGUAAUGAGAAUGUUCAUAAACUGACAUGGCCCAAGAGAAUCUUGUGUGCACACAGAAGACCUUCUCCAGGCAGAUGCAUGCUGGUUAUAUUCAACCAGACUGAUGCCAUGUAACCAACUGACACUGUCAUUUUGACAGUGGACAGCUUCAGUACCUGUGACAUUAUUUUUCUUCAUAAUGAUAAAAUUUAAUAUCAUCCUUUAAUCAUACAAUAAUUUCUAUGCUGGAGGUGAAAUAGAAGGGUCUUUCCAAAUAUUAAGCAAUUGAUUUGAAACUUUUUAAAAGUUAAUGAAAUAUUUUCUGGAAUGAAAAUCUCUCCAUUUGUGAAGGAAAUUUUGAAAAAAAUUAGAACUUACAUGUUUUCAAUAGUAUUUUCUUAUCAUAGCUUUAAAUUGGAACUAAGAUUGUUGGGGAAAGUUCUAUAUCAUAUCACAUUAAUAAUAAGACAAAUUUAAGAUCUACUUUACUAUAAUGAAAGAGUUCCUGAGGGGAAUGGGUUGCAGAGUGAAACUGUAUAUUUAUUUUAAUUAUAAACCAUGCCUUAAGCUUUGCUUCUAAGAUUUCAAAGUGAAACAUACUGUGUUUUGCUCUCUAUGUAUUUUGAUGACCACUGAGCAAACCACCACACGGUCACAUAAAUAUGGGUAUUCCCUGAAAUAAGGUUAAGAUAGCCUUGGUUAUCACAGUUGGCUGUUCUAUGAUAUAAGCCAUGGCUGUACCGGCCUCUUCUUGUGAAAAGUAAAGUAUAAAAUAUCCAGUGUGAAUGCCUGCAGACAUUUAGAAAUGUAAGAUGAUAGAGUGCUCUUUGUCUUCCCACAAGUGACUGUAAGUUCAUCUUGAUGUACAUUUCUGGAAUGUUUUGUAUAUAUAGCAAUUCCUAAUUUAGAACAUAAGACUUGUAUAGAAGUGACUAUACCAACCCCCCAAAUGAAGAUAAAUGGUGUUUUCAUAGAGAUGCAUAUUUUAUUUUUACUAAAUGUUAUGUAGAUUUAUUUAAAUCCAAAGUGAAUUGUUUUGGUAAUGAGCUCCUUUUAAGGGAAAUGUCCUGGGUUACUGAAGCACUCAGGUCCUUUCCUGCUGUGGUGUCAUCGGGCAUAAUGCUUCAGAGAAGGACCUACUAGAGUUGCUAUAUUUUGCUGCUUAACAAAUUUGAAAGCAAAUGUCCAAUUCCUCUGUGAGAAUAUGUGUUAGACCUGUUGUUUCAAUUAUAUUUUCCAAGGUUUGUUCUUUUCUACUGUGUGGACAAGGGUGUUUCUAGAUUAGCGACAUUUAUGCACCCUAGGGCAUAGAGUCAUUCGUCGUGGAAAUGAAUGAAUGAAACAGAUAGUUGAGAGUCCCACAGUUUCCUCUGAUGUGGCCUGAGGCAUAGGAGGGGAAUUCUCUAACAAGUUCCAAAGAGUAAAAUGGAAAGGCCUUGGAGUCUUUCCCUUACUGUCAAUUGAUAUUCUGUCUUAAAGAAGCCAUUUUAGUUAUUUUCUUCAGGCAAACAUUCUAUGCAAAUGUUGAGACGUACAGCAUGUUAACUUUAUGGUACUUAUCAAUUAGUUUUAUUUUCUUUAUAAAGUCAGAAAUGCUCUGCUUAGACUUCCUGAAAAUACAAUCAUUGUAAUUACUAAAGGUGCUACUUAUUUUCCAACAUUGACCUUGAUCACGAGGGCUCCUGUCUGCUGAAUUUUAUGAGGAUUUUUUUUUUUAGGGGUGGGGAACAGUGCAAUAAAAUUAGAUUAUCUUUUUUUUUUGUCUUAAUUAUACAACUUGAAAAAAUCUGUAACUAUUUGUACUCUAUUGUUACUGUAUUUUAAUAAUUACCACUCAUGAAUUUAAUUGCAGGUCUGUGCUAUUUGUUAAAAGGUACAUGUGUAUAUAUUUCUAUAGUAUGUAAGAAAAGCCUGUAUUGUUUUUAUUCAAGUAAAAUUUUUGUUGAUGUUGAGUUUUUGAAAUGAGAGCUGUAACUUUUUCUUAACCAUUAAAUGCUGUGCUAUUCUGUGCUGAUCAAAACACGAUGUCCAACUCCAGCCCACAUGUAAGGACGCUUCUUUGCCUGGAUGUAUAUAACUGAUUAAUAAAAAUGGAAAGAG